rnacentral:lncRNA from 1 species
ACCUGCAAGUGAAAUUUAUUCUCAAGGUGGCAAAAUAUCUGGAGCCUCAUCUUGAAGAGCCUUGGAAGGGCCAAGAAGGUUCUUCCUUUUCCAGGUCACUGCCAGGUUUUAGAAGACACAAUUUUUCAGCAUCUGAAGCAGGAAAUCCCAGCUCUUUUCCAUGAGAAGAAGCACAGGGAUGACAGGGCUUCCCCCCAGAACACUCCCGGGGUAAUUGCUGAAGACAUUCCAAGCCACUCUAACGAAGUGCACUGGCUGCCAGUCAUUCUGUUCUCCUUGGAAGACCAUCUGUUGCACUUCAAAUAUGUAAAGAACUGCUGGUGCCAACCAGGGACUGACUGGCACGGGUUUGAACUCUCCACUGCUUGAUAGAUCUGCUUCACAUGGGCCAAUUACAACAAUUCCCACCUCUGGAGCUGAAGUCGAAGCCCUUGGUCUUCCCUUCAUACCUCAGGAGGCUUUAUUUCCCAGAGAGCACGUACAGUAUUCAAAGGGCAAGUGAUGUCCAGGGUCCAAAAUUUGCCAAGCAUGGAUAUGAGUGUUCUCCAUCGUGUCUUCCUGCUCUGUAGGGCCGUACGUGGAAUUGGGAAAGGUGGUGGCUCCCAGUCAGCACAGGUAUGGCUUAAAAAUUCUCUAGCUGAUGUGUUAGUUUUCUUUCCUCUUUUGUUGAUGUUUUAGUAAUGUUUGGGUUUACUGGGAAAACUGUGUUCUGCACUUGACUGUGCUGGGAUCCUGUAGAAGGAUUUAUUGUGGUGAAUAUGUCAGGCCCAAGGAACCAGAUCCCGAACUGAGACACACAGGCUGGGUUCCUCCAAUCUGGGUGGUGAAUCAGUGCCAAAGCCAGUGUUAGACACUGAUCUUCUCUCCCAGACAUUGAGCUG